AUCAAAAGACAGUGAGUCAAAAGGCAAAGCAAACAGAAAUUUGUAGCUGAGAAUAUGGAAGAAAAGCAGAGACCAUACAUGGUGUUGCCCAAACCUCUAAUCCAGCUCUUAGGAGGCAGAGGUGGGCAGAUUUCUAUGGAUUCAAGGCCAGCCUGCUCUACAUAGUGAGUUCCAGGACAGCCAGGACUUUGUACAAAGGCCUGGUGGGGUGAGGUGCAGCAGGGCUGGUGAGGUGUCCAGCACUCACGAGACCCUCAUGGCAGCUCACAAGUGGCUGUGAUCCUACAUACCAGGAGACUGUUGAGUAGUGUUGUGUUAUCUGAAUACAGCAUGCUUUAACCACUCUACUGUUGUAUAGUGAGACUCUAAACAUAGAACACCGAGGUCUUCAUAGGUGAGAUCAGAAACAGUCCAGAACAAGGUGUGUGCACUGGACAUGGUCCUGUCACUGUGCUUCAUUUCGUCCUAUAUUCUAAAUGAUUUGAUUUUACUUUAGAUUCUUCAAAAUACCUGACUAACCUUAUCUUGAGAUUAACUGUAGACUUUUAGAUUAGCUGCUUAAGAAAAGACUAGAUCUUGCUAACACUUAAGGAGCAGAGGUGGGAGGGUCACAAACUCACAGCCUUCAGGACUACAUAGUACAGUCAUGCUCUGUUUUGUUUUGUUGGUUGGCUUUUUUGUUUUUCCCCUUCUGCUGUUUUUAUUUUUUAAUUAUCAUACGAAGUAACAUGUUUCCAUAUGGCAUUAUCAUGUGUACUUUGGUUUUGUUAAUCUUCCCCUCUUCCCAUUCCUACCCUUACCCUGUGUUGUCUGCUGCCAAUGUAUUUUUCAAUAUUAAGAAUGCUUAAUUUUAGCAUUAAGUCACUGUCCUUUAUGUCCUUUAUAGGGAAACCUAAAACAGUAAUGUGUGUUGACGGGAUAACCCUGCAAUGUUUGUCAUGUUACACUUUCAUAGUCCCUUUUUAACUUUAGAAAAUAAAUGGUAGUUGAAAGGGUUUUAUCCUCCCAAAAAGAAAGAAGUUAUGAAAGUUAAGGCUUGACCAUCACAUUUCCUUCUCCAUGGGAGAGAUUGUCGAACCCUGUGCCUGUGAGCAGAAACAUAAGAAGAAACGGACACGCCUGCGCAGCCAGGAUGCGUCUCACCUACUGUUUGUUCUUUCCAGGCAGCGCAGUCAGUGCUGAUUUCUUUAUUUGAACUCAAUACCCCAGAGUUUACAAUGUUACUAGGAGCUUUACCAAAAACUUUCCAGGAUGGUGCUACUAAACUUCUUCACAAUCACCUCCGGAACACUGGCAAUGGCACCCAGGUAUUUUACUCCUCUUGUUGGCUUUGUCUGCUGUUAUGGCUGAUUUAACAGUGGUUGCUUUGCUUUGCAUGCAGUUGAGUUGGUUUAACUAUGUGAUUUUUACAUCUGUAUUUCGCAACAGUUUCUGAAUGGGAUUAAAUAUUGCCUUGGGAAAAAUAGAGUCCCUUGAACCUGUGGUGCUUGUAUUAUAAUUUGUGUAGGUUGGGAUAGUAGUUAGCAGUAGACAGUUGAAAGGAGAGAGACGCAUGUGAGCAUUGUGUGUCUGAGGGCACAGCAGCCUUGGGGUGUGUUAGAACUUUAGUACUUUUGUCCUUCAGAUGAACCAGUUCUUAUUUGAGCACCAUCGAGGGCCUCUCAUCUCAAGCCAGCAAGUAAGGUUGAACAGAGUCAUACUGAAGCAUUGUAGGCUUGGUGGUCUCUGGGUGUCAUAUGCAGGGCUUGGUUCUGAGGAAGUAAAGUGUGACUAAAUGUACAUCCCAGUGAACUAUAUAUAUUUAUGCAUGAUUUACAUAAGAUGUCUAACAGAUUAAAUGGGAGUUUUAAAGGAGGGGCCUUUGAUAACAAAAAGAAUGCAGGUGUACUUGAUGUCGAGCUUAAAGUGCUGAGUUCAGGGUUGAAAGUGAUGUAAGAUUUUUGAGUGAGGCAAGACAUUUCACAGCUCAUUUAUACAUAACUCAAAGAUGUAGGAUGCUGGACUCUGAUGGUUACUGAAGACUGACGGGAGACAGUGACCCCAGGUUGUUUGUCUCAUACUGAUGGAGAUUCUAGAUGCAUAUUCUGGAGGGAGCAUGCAAAGCAAAAGCAAGCUCUAGUAAAGAGAAGUACAGGGCUGGGGAGAUGGCUCAGUGGUUAAGAGCGCCGACUGCUCUUCCAAAGGUCCCAAGUUCAAAUCCCAGCAACCACAUGGUGGCUCACAGUCAUCCGUAACGAAAUCUGAUGCCCUCUUCUGGAGAGUCUGAAGACACACUACAUUGUACUUACAUACACAUCAUAAAUAAAUAAAAGUAAAGAGAAGUGCAGAGAAGGUUGAGAAGCUCCUGAAAUAGAAAAGUUUCCAAGAGAGGAAAAGAGGCACCAGACUUCCUGGUCUAGGGUUUUUAUAGGGUUUUGUCAGAGAGUGGACAAGUUUGGGCUGGAGUAAUUGCUUUGAGAUUGGUUAAUUCUCUGAAGUGUUGUAGACCAAAAUAAUGAAGCACCCACAUGGUAUUUGCAUGUCCUCCCAGCCCAACCAGAAGGAUGCUCAUGCAUUGUACUGCCCACCCAGUGAAACAUGGUUGAAGCCCCUCUGUCCUUUCUGACCUCAGGUUUGUUAGUGACCUUGGUUGUGUCGUCUUCCAGCUGUUACUCACUUCUCAGAUGUUGUCUGACCUUGCAAGAGUCUCUUUAUUUUUGAGAGGCAGACAGAUCUUUGUGAGUUUUAGGCCAGCCUGAUCUAUAUAUUGAGUUCCAGGCCAGCUAGGGCUACAUGAUGAGGCCCUGUCUC
rnacentral:lncRNA from 1 species